rnacentral:rRNA from 1 species
UACAGAGGGGGCAAGCGUUAUUCGGAAUCACUGGGCUUAAAGGGCGCGUAGGCGGGCCGCCAAGUCAGGGGUGAAAGCCUCCGGCUCAACCGGAGAAGUGCCUUUGAUACUGGCGGCCUAGAGGGAGGUAGGGGCCUGCGGAACUUCCGGUGGAGCGGUGAAAUGCGUAGAUAUCGGAAGGAAUGCCGGUGGCGAAAGCGGCGGGCUGGACCUCUUCUGACGCUGAGGCGCGAAAGCCAGGGGAGCAAACGGG